CGCGGUAAUACGAAGGGUGCAAGCGUUACUCGGAAUUACUGGGCGUAAAGACCUCGUAGGCGGUUUGGUAAGUCAGCGGUGAAAUUUCGGAGCCCAACUCCGAACGGUCCGUUGAUACUGCCAUGACUUGAGUCCGGUAGGGGAGUGCGGAACUCCUGGUGUAGCGGUGAAAUGCGCAGAUAUCAGGAAGAACACCGGUGGCGAAGGCGGCACUCUGGGCCGGUACUGACGCUGAGGAGGGAAAGCUAGGGGAGCAAACAGG
rnacentral:rRNA from 1 species